ensembl:lncRNA
GUUUACUGAUGCUAUGCCACAUUCUGUGCAACUUCAUUGCUAACAGGGAUCAGGCACCCAGGAGCAUCUCUUUAACAUGGAGGGCUGUAGCCACACUCCAUGGAGAUGAGGGCAAGGAAAAGUUUCAUCUGGACUUUAGGAAAUCCUCUAAGAGAAGGCAGAUCACACAUGUUGUAACCACACUGAAAAUAUUUCCUGAAGAACAGCAGGAGAAGGAGUGGGAGAAAUGCAGGCAAGAACUUACAGUGGGGAAGGAAAGCUUUUACAACCGGUAUAAAAAUUUCACCCACUCGUAUACCAGUCGAAAUUACAAAGUGAUUAAAGAAGAAGUGCUCUUCAAGAAUAAACAUGGAUCAACCUAGCUGACUGUGUUUACGACUGAGCAUGUCUGGGCCUUUCCCUUGUACAGGCACAAAUCAGACAUUGAACUGACUGAUCGAAGUGAAAGGUGUCCAAAGCAAGAUUUCGCUUCUACCUUUUCCCUUUCCCUGCCCGUCCUUCCCCCUAGAAACAGAAACUGCAGCCAUUACUGGCAGGGUGGACUGCAGAAUGAGAUUUUGUUCUGUUAAGUGAAUUGUCUGUG